rnacentral:rRNA from 1 species
AUUGAACGCUGGCGGCAUGCUUUACACAUGCAAGUCGAACGGCAGCACGGACCUCGGUCUGGUGGCGAGUGGCGCACGGGUGAGUAAUACAUCGGAACGUACACAGUAAUGGGGGAUCACUAUCAGAAAGGCUAGCUAAUACCGCAUACGCUCUACGGGGGAAAGAGGGGGAUCGCAAGACCUCUUGUUAUUGGAGCGGCCGAUGGCUGAUUAGCUAGUUGGUGAGGUAAAGGCUCACCAAGGCGACGAUCAGUAGCGGGUCUUAGAGGACGAUCCGCCACACUGGAACUGAGACACGGUCCAGACUCCUACGGGAGGCAGCAGUGGGGAAUCUUGGACAAUGGGCGCAAGCCUGAUCCAGCAAUGCCGCGUGCGUGAAGAAGGCCUUCGGGUUGUAAAGCGCUUUUGUCAGGGAGCAAAUCCUUGGGGCUAAUACCCACCGGGGAUGAGAGUACCUGAAGAAUAAGGACCGGCUAACUACGUGCCAGCAGCCGCAGUAACAC